rnacentral:rRNA from 1 species
ACUGAACGCUGGCGGCAGGCUUAACACAUGCAAGUCGAGCGGGGGGAGGUAGCUUGCUACCGGACCUAGCGGCGGACGGGUGAGUAAUGCUUAGGAAUCUGCCUAUUAGUGGGGGACAACAUCUCGAAAGGGAUGCUAAUACCGCAUACGUCCUACGGGAGAAAGCAGGGGAUCUUCGGACCUUGCGCUAAUAGAUGAGCCUAAGUCGGAUUAGCUAGUUGGUGGGGUAAAGGCCUACCAAGGCGACCAUCUGUAGCGGGUCUGAGAGGAUGAUCCGCCACACUGGGGCUGGGACACGGCCCAGACACCUACGGGAGGCAGCAGUGGGGAAUAUUGGACAAUGGGGGGAACCCUGAUCCAGCCAUGCCGCGUGUGUGAAGAAGGCCUUAUGGUUGUAAAGCACUUUAAGCGAGGAGGAGGCUACUUUAGUUAAUACCUAGAGAUAGUGGACGUUACUCGCAGAAUAAGCACCGGCUAACUCUGUGCCAGCCGCCGCGGUAA